rnacentral:lncRNA from 1 species
GACUAGAUGACCUCCUGAGGUAUCUGCCAACCCUAAUCUUCUAUGAUUCUAUGAUCUCCUUAUCACAUCCUCACUUCUUGCCAGGCCUGCUGCCAAGCCUUUGCAUAUUGCCCCAGUUGGACCAUCCUCUGGUAUUCAUUUAGAUGAUGACAGGUGCACAUAGGCUGCAGAAGUGUAGUGUGCAGAUUCUGAGCAGUAGUGCCCUGAAUAGUAUUAGCCAGGAUGGGCAGGGAUGGUGUCUCUAGCCUCUGUUUGCCAGAAGCUGGGAAUGGGUGAUAGAGGAUGGAUGACUUGAUGAUUACCUGUUCUGUUCAUUCCCUCUGGGGUGCCUGACAUUGGCUACUGUCAGAAGACAGGAUACUGGGCUAGAUGGACCUUUGGUCUGACCCAGUAUGGCCAUUCUUAUGUUCUAGUAUAGAGAGGGCCUAAUUCAUAUUUGAGGCUAGAAAGGAAUAAAAAGUAUAAGUGGCUGAUAAACUUAUUGAUUUCCUACCAUUCCCCUUAAGGACAAAAGCUGCAAGCAAACCACAGGCUGCAGAAGGGAUGGAAAACUCCUCCGAAUGCUUUUUUUGAAUACUUGCCAUUCUAUGAAUACUUAAUUAUACAGGUCCCAGCUUCUCUUUCAUGCUGUGAACCAAGGAGCAGAGAGAGACGACCACAGAACCUAAACAACCAGUACUUGAAUUCAGGAACUGUGUCUGUAGAUAGGCGGAGUGGCCUCCCUCUGACGCUGACCAGGAACCACUCCCUGCCCUGUGGUGGACGGAGCCAGGCCAGGCCCACCCUUUGCGCCAGAAGCAGAGGGGUGGAACAGGAAGUAUAAGAUGUGGGGCCUCCAGCUCAGUUGAGGGAGAGCCAUGGAAGGAGUUGGAUGCCUCUGCCUUACUGCUGACCCUUGAGCCAGAGACUGAGCUGUACCAAUCCCUGCCCCUGGAGGAAUACCCCGAGGAGCUGCUGAGUACCCUGAGGAACCUGAGGGCCCGUGAGCGACAAAGCCCUUUGAACAGGUAGGGAUAGGAAGUAGCCCAGAGAAACCAGACAUUAAUCUGAUUGUGUUGCUGGAUCCAGAGUCAGUGUGUUUCAGGAGGAUCCCUGCUGACCCAGUGGCAGGAUUACUCGCCACUGCUAGGGCUUUGGGCUGGGACUUGGUGGAGUAGGUUGGGCCUGGGUCCUUCUACAACCUGCUGCCAGCCCCACUCCUGAGGUAGCAGCCUACCCACUUUAGGCCAGAUGGCCUCCAUUUGUUUGCUUUUUGCCGCACCCAGGGAGCUGGGCCAUAGACUGCAGUUGCUCUGCUGUGCCCAGGGAGCUUGAGCCUGACUCCAUCUGCCCCAAAGACACAGCUGGGUUGAAGACUGAUAAUUGCCCUGGUCUGCCCCAUUGGCACAUACCGUGCUAAUUCCUUGUCAAUUGGCCAUCAACCAAUAGGUGGCAUAGCGAGGUGGAGUGGCCUCCCUUCAAGGCUGACAGGGAGGAAUCACUCCAAGCUACUACAGUGUCAAGAAGGGACAAGGUCUUUGGUUGUCUAAUAUUAGGGCAAUAUGAGGGAUCUUAAUAGAGAUGGGAAGGAAGAGGAAGGACCCACAGACAUAGUACAAGGAAGGCACUUUCUCAAGGCAGAGAAGAGUGUAUUUCGCAUAUUAUUAGUGUGCUAAUAGAUAACCUUUCUAAAAUUAUUAGAAAAUUGGAACUUCCACAGCAGACUUCAGGCUUCAUUUUCAGUAGUGGCCCCCUAUGUAAGUCCCUGCAUAUGGAUUUAGGUACUUAACUGUAGGCAUUCAAGUUUGAAAACUUAAGUCUUUGUUUUGGUAACUAUCAAAACU